rnacentral:rRNA from 1 species
UACAGAGGGGGCAAGCGUUAUUCGGAAUUAUUGGGCGUAAAGCGCGCGUAGGUGGCUUCGUAAGUCCGUUGUGAAAGUCAAAGGCUCAACCUUUGAAUGCCGAUGGAUACUGCGAAGCUAGAGUACGGAAGAGGCGAGUGGAAUUCCUGGUGUAGCGGUGGAAUGCGCAGAUAUCAGGAGGAACACCAAUAGCGAAGGCAGCUCGCUGGGACGUUACUGACACUAAGGCGCGAAAGCGUGGGGAGCGAACAGG